GUGUGUGUGUGUGUGUGUGUGUGUGUGUGUGUGUGUGUGUGUGUGUGAGAGAGAGAGAGUAUACCACCCUGCCUUGUCUCAAUGCCUAGCCAGAAAUAACAAUGCAUUAUUCAUGUCCUGCCUUCUAGGCCACAGACACAAGUCAACGUUGUCUUUCUUAUUCAUUGAAAACGUCUCACGUGACGAAUCCUUAAACCAAUGGGUUCCCACUGUUCGUCUAUUCUCGUGUUGUUGUUCUGCAUUAUUUCCUGAGGAGAUGGAGAGGACAGGAAGGAGUGUUUCUGAGGAGGUGGAGAGGACAGGAAGGAGGGUUCCUGAGGAGAUGGAGGGGACAGGAAGGAGUGUUUCUGAGGAGAUGGAGAGGACAGGAAGGAGGGUUUCUGAGGAGAUGGAGGGGACAGGAAGGAGGGUUCCUGAGGAGAUGGAGGGGACAGGAAGGAGGGUUUCUGAGGAGGUGGAGGGGACAGGAAGGAGGAUUCCUGAGGAGAUGGAGGGGACAAUGAAGGAGGGUUCCUGAGGAGAUGUGGGGAGGGGAGGGAGGGUUCCUGAGGAGAUGGAGGGGACAGGAAGGAGGGUUUCUGAGGAGAUGGAGGGGACAGGAAGGAGGGUUUCUGAGGAGAUGGAGGGGACAGGAAGGAGGGUUUCUGAGGAGAUGGAGGGGACAGGAAGGAGGGUUCCUGAGGAGGUGGAGGGGACAGGAAGGAGGGUUUCCAAAAAAGUGUUUAUCCCCAAGACGUUUGGUAAAAGUAUGAAUUAUA
ensembl:lncRNA